UACGAGGGGGGCAAGCGUUGUUCGGAUUUAUUGGGCGUAAAGGGUGCGUAGGCGGUCUGGCAAGUCUUGUGUGAAAUCUUCGGGCUCAACCCGAAGUCUGCACAAGAAACUGCCGGGCUUGAGUAUGGGAGAGGUGAGUGGAAUUUCCGGUGUAGCGGUGAAAUGCGUAGAUAUCGGAAGGAACACCUGUGGCGAAAGCGGCUCACUGGACCAUAACUGACGCUGAGGCACGAAAGCGUGGGGAGCAAACAGG
rnacentral:rRNA from 1 species